CAUAGUAUCCUGUUUUAUUUCAUGCACUGGUCAAUUCUAAGAUUACCUUGUGUAAUGUUUUAAAGAGCCCCUGUUAUAUAUGUUUUCUUGAUGUAUACUUGACAUAGGUUUACAUGUUUAGGUUUGCAUGCUUAUGUCUGAGGUCUUGGCCCGCCUCCCCAUAAAGCCCAGUCUGCUCUGAUUGGUCAGCUGGCCCACUCUGUUGUUGUUGGUCCUCCAAAUUCAAACAAGCCACUGGGCGGGCUGUGCUGGCUCAGGCAGCACCUAUGGGUAGCACGUAUGAAAAACUGGGCUGGCUUUCUCAAUCAAUAACAUUAGGCACGUUCGCCUGUAAAGUGGACGAGAGCAGGCGGCAGACAAAAAUCUGCUGUCAAGUCAGACAGUUGACAGCUGUCUCCAGCAGCCUUUAGGCUGCACAAGAAGUCACAGAAACACUCACAUCCUGUUUGGUCCGAUUACGAUAAAAUGUUCAGCUUGUACGCAGUCUCAAGUUGUUUUUAUUUUUACAGAGUAUGUCUUUGUAUAGUGAUGUUUGUAUUCAGAAGAAGAAGAAACGCUCCUGUGUUUUUGGUUUUUGUAGCCGGAAAAUGCUGGUAUGAUGUCAAGUGUUCUGUCCUUCGCCCAUUUGUCUGCAGCAAGAAAAUCUGAUGAUUCCUGGGCUGACACAGAGGCAUCAAGAUUGAAGAGACAAGUGACAUACAGGAGCUGGAUUGUCUCUUAGGCCUAAGAGCAGACUGAACGAGUUAUGAAAAUAAUGCUUUUACCACAACUGUAUUCUGUCUGGAGAGUGAACUGGUCUUUCUUGUCUUUCAAUAUGCAAAAUUAAAACGCUCAAGCAUUGAAA